GGCGAACGCUGGCGGCAGGCCUAACACAUGCAAGUCGAACGAACCUUUCGGGGUUUGUGGCGGAUGGGUGAGGAAGACGUGGGGAGGUGCCCUUAGGUACGGUAUACCUCAGGGAAAGUUGUGCUAAUGCCGAAUGUGCUCUUCGGGGGUAUGAUUUAUUGCCUCUGGUGCGGCCCGCGUCAGAUUAGCUAGUUGGGUGAGGUAAUGGCUCAUCAAGGCGACGUUCAGUAGUUGGUCGGAGAGGAUGAUCAGCCACAUUGGGUCUGAGACACGGCUGAAACUCCGACGGGAGGGAGGAGAGGGGAAUCUUGCGCAAUGGGCGAAAGCCUGACGCAGCCAUGCGGGGUAAAUGGUGAAGGUCGUAGGAUAGUAAUAUUCUUUCAACGGAGACGAUAAUGACGGUACCCGGAGAAGAAGCCCCGGCUAACUACGUG
rnacentral:rRNA from 1 species